AGAGUUAAUCAGCCUAGUUUCAUUGAUCUAAAUAAAUUAAAUCGCUGGAAACGGGGGAACCAUUAACGGGGCUUAUUUCUACUUUUAUUGUAGAAAAGAACAUCUCUCAGUUCUAGCCCGUCAGCUAACCUCGUAGGCAUUGAGAGGAGACUAA
rnacentral:sRNA from 2 species